rnacentral:rRNA from 1 species
UUGAACGCUGGCGGCAGGCCUAACACAUGCAAGUCGAGCGGAAACGAGUUAUCUGAACCUUCGGGGAACGAUAACGGCGUCGAGCGGCGGACGGGUGAGUAAUGCCUAGGAAAUUGCCCUGAUGUGGGGGAUAACCAUUGGAAACGAUGGCUAAUACCGCAUGAUGCCUACGGGCCAAAGAGGGGGACCUUCGGGCCUCUCGCGUCAGGAUAUGCCUAGGUGGGAUUAGCUAGUUGGUGAGGUAAGGGCUCACCAAGGCGACGAUCCCUAGCUGGUCUGAGAGGAUGAUCAGCCACACUGGAACUGAGACACGGUCCAGACUCCUACGGGAGGCAGCAGUGGGGAAUAUUGCACAAUGGGCGCAAGCCUGAUGCAGCCAUGCCGCGUGUAUGAAGAAGGCCUUCGGGUUGUAAAGUACUUUCAGUCGUGAGGAAGGCGGCGUCGUUAAUAGCGGCAUUGUUUGACGUUAGCGACAGAAGAAGCACCGGCUAACUCCGUGCCAGCAGCCGCGGUAAUACGGAGGGUGCGAGCGUUAAUCGGAAUUACUGGGCGUAAAGCGCAUGCAGGUGGUUUGUUAAGUCAGAUGUGAAAGCCCGGGGCUCAACCUCGGAAUAGCAUUUGAAACUGGCAGACUAGAGUACUGUAGAGGGGGGUAGAAUUUCAGGUGUAGCGGUGAAAUGCGUAGAGAUCUGAAGGAAUACCGGUGGCGAAGGCGGCCCCC